rnacentral:rRNA from 1 species
UGGGGAAUAUUGGACAAUGGGCGAAAGCCUGAUCCAGCCAUGCCGCGUGUGUGAAGAAGGUCUUCGGAUUGUAAAGCACUUUAAGUUGGGAGGAAGGGCAUUAACCUAAUACGUUAGUGUUCUGACGUUACCGACAGAAUAAGCACCGGCUAACUCUGUGCCAGCAGCCGCGGUAAUACAGAGGGUGCAAGCGUUAAUCGGAAUUACUGGGUGUAAAGCGCGCGUAGGUGGUUUGUUAAGUUGGAUGUGAAAUCCCCGGGCUCAACCUGGGAACUGCAUUCAAAACUGACUGACUAGAGUAUGGUAGAGGGUGGUGGAAUUUCCUGUGUAGCGGUGAAAUGCGUAGAUAUAGGAAGGAACACCAGUGGCGAAGGCGACCACCUGGACUAAUACUGACACUGAGGUGCGAAAGCGUGGGGAGCAAACA